CACGUAGGAGGCGAGCGUUGUCCGGAAUCAUUGGGCGUAAAGAGCGCGCAGGCGGCUUGGCAAGUCGGGUGUGAAAUCCCGGGGCUCAACCCCGUGACUGCAUCCGAUACUGUCAGGCUAGAGGUAGGUAGGGGAGAUCGGAAUUCCUGGUGUAGCGGUGAAAUGCGCAGAUAUCAGGAGGAACACCGGUUGCGAAGGCGGAUCUCUGGGCCUUACCUGACGCUCAGGCGCGAAAGCUAGGGGAGCGAACAGG
rnacentral:rRNA from 1 species